GUUGCGGUCAGGACAGAGCAAAAAAAACAAGACAUCAGUAUUGCCGAGUAUUUGCUAGUACCUGGUUCCCAAGCUAAGAUCUCUCACGGAAGCUGCAGCUCCCUGAUUCCACCAGACUGUCUGGUCAGCAAUCACCAGGAGUUGUGCAUCUCUGUAUCUGCCGGGAAGCUCACUGAUGCCUUGAAUAACUAAUUAAUUAAUUAGUUUGUUUGUUUUUUACAAACAACUCAGAUUUUCAUGUCCAGACGCCAAGCACGUUCCUAACUGAGCUGUCUCCCAGCUCUCGGAGUCUGUGGGUCUCUUCAGGAGAUGCCUUACUUCUCCGGAAAGAGUGGAACAGGCACAGAUGAAUUCAGUCUGCUGAGUCUGGAAAAGAGGAAAGAGGAGAAGGGCUGCCUGGUUUCUAGAAUGUUCCCCGUGAGCUAUGCGCAUGUACCAUGAAGGCUUACUUGGACCCAGAGCUGAGGAUGACCUAAGUGGGGUUUCCUUUGGAUCAAUGUGGCCUCUUUUGCUCCACAAAGCAGCCUUCUUAUAACAAAAUAAAAAUGUUCUACAAGGA